rnacentral:misc_RNA from 1 species
GAACAAAUCUUGUUCAAGCAAUGACGAAAGCGGGAAAAAAGAAGGGCUCUUCUUUCUUGUUCCAUUCUUGCCACCUAUUACACGUAAACUCUCAUUUUGACAGAUCUCUUCAGCUUCUUCUUCUGCUUCCUCUUCCCAUCUCUCCUCUUCACAGUAAAGAGAAGAGUCUAGCAAGAAAGAAGAGCUUUGUUGUUCAUCAUGGUGUUGGAUAGCCAUCUUCUUCUGAGGGAAGAAGAGGGUCUUGGUCCACUACUCAUUAUACAAAAGAAAAGCUCAUUGUUCUUUCUCUUUCUCUGUGUAUGUUUCAGUGUGGGGAUGGUGCAGAUAGAAAGUGGUGGUGGACUGGAGGCUAAGAGAGAAGAGGUUGAAAGCAGAGGAAGAAAGGAAAAGGAGAGAAUUGAUUUUUAACAGAGUGGGUUUCACGCUUG